UGACCUGCCCAGUGACAUAACGUUAAACGGCCGCGGUACCCUGACCGUGCAAAGGUAGCAUAAUCAUUUGCCUUUUAAUUAAAGGCUAGUAUGAAUGGUUUGACGAGAAUUAACCUGUCUCUUUAAAAUAUUUAAAAACUAACCUUUAGGUGAAGAGGCCUAUAUAAAACUAAGGGACAAGAAGACCCUAUCGAACUUAAGUAAAUUACAGAAAACCAUAAUAUAACACUUGAUGAAAAUUAAUUUCUGAAAUUAAUCUUUAGUUGGGGCGACUGAGGAAGAAAUAAAGCUUCCUUUAAUACUUAAACAAACAAGCUAUAAAUGAUCCAGUAACUACUGAUUAAAGGAAAAAGUUACCGUAGGGAUAACAGCGUAAUUUUUCUAAAGAGCCCUUAUCGACAGAAAAGUUUGCGACCUCGAUGUUGGAUUAAGAUACCCAGAAGGUGCAGCAGCUUUCAAAGGUUGGUUUGUUCAACCAUUAAAAUCUUACAUGAUCUGAGUU
rnacentral:rRNA from 1 species